rnacentral:rRNA from 1 species
GACAACAUUCAUAUCUCGUCGAAAAUACCAGUUCUCGUCCGAUCACUGAAGUCAAGCGGCGUUGAGCACGGUUAGUACUUAGAUGGGUGACCGCUUGGGAACACCGUGUAAUGUUGUCA